rnacentral:misc_RNA from 1 species
GAUGAAGAACGUAGCGAAAUGCGAUACUUGGUGUGAAUUGCAGAAUCCCGUGAACCAUCGAGUCUUUGAACGCAAGUUGCGCCCGAAGCCAUCAGGUUGAGGGCACGUCUGCCUGGGCGUCACAUAUCGUUGCCCAAUGCCUAAUGCAGUGCAAUAGGAAUUUCUAGGGCGAAUGAUGGCUUCCCGUGAGCGUUGUUGCCUCGCGGUUGGUUGAAAAUCGAGUCCUUGGUAGGGUGUGCCAUGGUAGAUGGUGGUCGAGUUAGAACGAUACCGAUCAUGUGCAUGCUCCCCAAAAUAUGGCCUCUAUGACCCACACGCGUCUUUUGACGCUCAUGACGAGACCUCAGGUCAGGCGGGGCUACCCGCUGAAUUUAAGCAUAUCAAUAAGCGGAGGA